UACGUAGGUGGCAAGCGUUACUCGGAUUUACUAGGUGUAAAGGGCAGGUAGGUGGUCCGGUAAGUUGAGGGUGAGAGCUCCGAUAAAAUCGGAGAGGUCUCUCAAUACUGCCGGGCUUGAGUGCGGUAGGGGGAACCAGAAUUCCCGGUGUAGCGGUGAAAUGCGUAGAUAUCGGGAGGAAUACCGAUGGCGAAAGCGGGUUCCUGGGCCGUAACUGACACUGAGCUGCGAAAGCGUGGGGAGCA
rnacentral:rRNA from 1 species